UGGGGCCAAAUAAUCUCCAUGACCUUAUCAAAAGGUAAUACAUGGAGAGAUCAUGGUAUAAAUAAUGUCUCUCUGGUAUCAAGAUAUGGUUUGACACAUGUUAUAAAUAAUGUAUCUUAUUAUUUCAUUACUAAAAUAAUUGACCAGGUAGAAGGUGGUUUUUAUAGUAACGUCCACUUAAAAUUUCAAUUAACCAGUAUUUGCCAGUAUUACCGAACACAUUUAUUAAUUUUUUUAUUUAUUAAUACUGGUAUUGACCACUUUUUUGCCAACCUUGGAUAUAUUGCAUAAAAAAUGUAUCUCUGGUUUCAAGAUAUGGU
rnacentral:lncRNA from 1 species